GAAUUAUUCUGUUCACCAGCUCAGGAAAAAACAAUCAACAGCUGGGAGCUGCACAGUAGUUUAAAAACCUCUUCACAGAGCACCUUGAAAGCUCUUGAUGUUCGUAUUGCUGCAAGUGCGUGGUGAAGCCCUCUUCAGACACAGCCAUUAUCUUAGAAACAGCACGAGAGGAGCAGAAAACUCGGGACAAGUGGACUCACUUGAGCAAACUGCCGAAGGGAUGAGAUGCUCCAGAGUUGCUGGGCUGAAACAUCUGAUUGGAUCACAGACAGCAGAUGAGGACAAAUUUUUGACUUCUCUGCCAGCUUGUGGGUUUUCACUGUAUCUGAAGAUGGAUGUUUCGGCAUGACAGGAGAUGAGAAAUCUUAGAAAUACCAACAGAAUAUCUAAAAAGCUGCAAGGAAGCUGCGUUACUUCUGUUCCUUGCCUUACCCCAUAAUCAAAGCAGUUACUUCAGACAGCUUCCUAAUGAAACAGGCUGUGUAAUUGUUCUCCCCAGUUUUAACAGCAUUAUAUGAAUUACUGUGUAGAUGCCAACACCAUGCAGGUAGUGGGGCAACUGCCUUGAGAGAGUGAUUCGAUGUGACUGAGCCCCCAGCUCAGGCAAAUAUCGAUCAGAUCCCCUAUACAGAAUUGUUCACGUUCCUCCUCAGCUGCUCCCAGCCACCACAGCCCGCCUCAGGGAUUGUGUGCACCCAAAUGAUAAUGCCUAUACAUGAUAGUGGUGAUACCAGAGCUUUCGGCAUCUUUGCAUUGACACAGCCCGACCGCCUGUGCCCAAGGGAGUGACUCCAUGUCACCUCACAAAGGGCCUGGAAGGAGCCGUAACCAAGGGAAGCAUGAUGUUCAUACCAGGGUACACAGCACUGGAUUAAAGCCCUCUGCACUAUUCAGAAGAGGUUUCAUAUACUGUGUCCAGAAGUGGAUUUCAGAGGAAAUACUUCAGCUUCAUGGUCAACUUCUCUUACUUGAAAUUGUGAGGGACGUACUCUGUGAAGCAAGAGCAGAGGGUGCCAAUAUGCUGCCAUUGUCACACACCUCAAGAAUACCUCAAGAGCACCUCAAGAAGAGGCCUAGCUCUCAGCAAUCAUCUAGAACCCAUGGAGAAAGGGGAAUGAGCAGCUGGAGGAUGGAGACAAGUUCUCCACCUGUGAUCUUUACAGCUUGCCUCCCUGAAGAUCCCUGCUCCCUGGGCACAAAGAAUUUCAUGCCUUGCAAUCCCUGCUACUGCCUCUGGCUGUGGAGUGUCUUGGCCGUAUGCUGAGCACAGCCCAGGCAUACGUGCCCAGGUGGUGAUGGUCCUGGCUGCCCACUGGCCUUCCCCAGCUCUUCUGCAGCAGGACUGAAGACAGACUCGUGCCUUUGGAAAGGAAACAAAACUUGCUCCUCUUUUCAUUUUUCAUCUUUAUCUUUGAAACUCUAGGUCCUUAUUGCUGUGUAUUCCCUGGAGACCCUUCUGAAUUCUGGGGAGAGACAGGUGUUGAUGGGAAGGAAGCAGCAUGGCUCAUUCUUCCCUCUCAGAUUCAGACUUUUAACAAGAGCUUCCUAUUAAUGAUAAUAAACUACCAAAAUCCAAGCGCUUGC
rnacentral:lncRNA from 1 species